AGAUCGUGGCUAAAAAUGCUCAAAUAAGCAGUUAUGGUGAGGCUUUCUCCAUCACAGCCACCACCAAGGACGAAGGCGCUUCCGAUCAAAGUACUGAGACAGAGAUGACCGACGCAAAAACAACUCAACGCAGCCUACGCUUCAGCUGGGACGAGUCUCGGAGUGACAAUUGCAUCACUGAUUACUACACAGUCACAUUCUUUGAUGGAGACAAGAGGACUGUGAAAAAUAUCACCGAUAAUGAAAUCAGAUUUGAUGGCCUGGCUCCCGGCAAGAAGUACACGCUAGAAGUGGAGAGAUGUCCUAGGACAGGGAAAUGUGAAAAACUGAAGACGUUUGAAAAAUGGACGAAACCAGAGAAGCCACGAGUGGUCGAGGAAACAGAACUCCAGACAACAACAGACACCACCAUCACCAUCCAGCUGACCGACUUGGAGAACACCCCCGGGUGUGUGUGUGUGUGUGUGUGUGUGUGUGUGUGUGUGUGUGUGUGUGAGAGAGAGAGAGAGAGA